rnacentral:rRNA from 1 species
UACGGGGGGGGCAAGCGUUGUUCGGAAUUACUGGGCGUAAAGGGUUCGUAGGUGGCCAACUAAGUCAGACGUGAAAUCCCUCAGCUCAACUGGGGAACUGCGUCUGAUACUGGUCGGCUUGAGUGCAGGAGAGGAACGCGGAAUUCCAGGUGUAGCGGUGAAAUGCGCAGAUAUCAGGAGGAACACCGAUGGCGAAGGCAGGUCUCUGGGCAUUAACUGACGCUGAGGAGCGAAAGCAUGGGGAGCGAACAGG